GCGGCGGUGGUGCAAAUGCGUAGCAUCGCUGCCCGGAAAGCAGGAGGUGUGGGUUCGAGUCCCACCUGGCGCA
rnacentral:tRNA from 1 species